AUUGAACGCUAGCGGGAUGCUUUACACAUGCAAGUCGAACGGAGUGGCGGACGGGUGAGUUAUAUAUCGGUACGCGCCCUGUAGCGGGGGAUCACCACUAGAAAGAGUGGCAAACCCCGCAUUCUCUUCGAGCGCCAGAUCGCGGUUUAGCUAGUUGGUGGGGUAAUGGCUCACAAAGGCAACGAUCCCUAGCUGGUUUGAGAGGACGACCAGCCACACUGGGACUGAGACACGGCCCAGACUCCUACGGGAGGCAGCAGUGGGGAAUUUUGGACAAUGGGGGAAACCCUGAUCCAGCCAUCCCGCGUGUAUGAUGAAGGCCUUCGGGUUGUAAAGUACUUUUGGCAGAGAAGCGGUAUCUGCAGAAUAAGCACCGGCUAACUACGUGCCAGCAGCCGCGGUAAUAC
rnacentral:rRNA from 1 species